UAGUUAUGACAAAUAUAAGGAUCAUAUUAUAAAAUACAAAUAGUUUUGAAAUUAAGUUUGAAGUUUUGCUUUUGGAGAAUAACACUUUUAAACUUCAAAUAUAAAAUUUUGGAAACUUCAAAAUAGAGUUCCUUUUUGAGAUGCUCUUAUACCAUCAAUGGCAUCAUGAGAGAUUGGAUGACCGAAAUCAAGAUGAAAAAUCUCUUUGUUUGUCUCCAUUCGUGUCGUUUAGCCUUCUACUUUACUCAACCGAAACGGUCCGAGUCACAGCCAUCGCCUUCUUACUCUAUACACCGACAUGAAGCACGAUCUGACAUUGAUUAUGAAUUGUGCCUCUGCAAGGCGGUUUAGUCUACACCUAUAAAAAUGAUCUUCCAACUCUUAUGCUAGAAAAUACAGUUUUUGAUGUUCUCAAAAUUCUUAGUUGCAAUAGAAGAUUGUGACUGAGAUCUUACCGGCAAAGAAAUUCUACAAAGCUGAAAAAUACCAUCAGCAUUACCUCUCCAAAGGUGGGAAUAGUGGCCAUGCACAGUCCCCUUCAAAGAGCUGCAAGGACCCUAUCAGCUGCUUUGGCUGAGGAAAAGCUUUUGCUCCUCUUCCACCAAAACAGAGGAUUCUCAGAGAAUAUGUAUCUGUUUGUGUGUGUGUGUGUGUGUGUGUUGAUUUGUAAGUCUCAGUUAAUAAUAAAGAUGCAUGUGUGAUCAAAAGAUAAUUUUUGAGCCACUGAACUGUUCUUGAGGAGGGAGGACUUUACAUUGGUGUUAUCA